UGGGGAAUAUUGGGCAAUGGGGGAAACCCUGACCCAGCGACGCCGCGUGAGGGAAGACGGCCUUCGGGUUGUAAACCUCUUUUGUACGGGAAGAAGGAAGUGACGGUACUGUACGAAUAAGUCCCGGCUAACUACGUGCCAGCAGCCGCGGUAAUACGUAGGGGACGAGCGUUGUCCGGAAUUACUGGGCGUAAAGGGCGCGCAGGCUGUGCUGCAAGUCAGCUGUGAAAUGUCUGGGCUUAACCCGGGCAUGCGGUUGAGACUGCAGUGCUGGAGUGCUGUAGAGGCAAGUGGAAUUCCCAGUGUAGCGGUGAAAUGCGUAGAUAUUGGGAAGAACACCGGUGGCGAAGGCGACUUGCUGGGCAGCAACUGACGCUGAGGCGCGAAAGCCAGGGGAGCAAACGGG
rnacentral:rRNA from 1 species